rnacentral:rRNA from 1 species
GUAGGGGGCAAGCGUUGUCCGGAAUUAUUGGGCGUAAAGCGCGCGCAGGCGGUCUCUUAAGUCUGAUGUGAAAGCCCACGGCUCAACCGUGGAGGGUCAUUGGAAACUGGGGGACUUGAGUGUAGGAGAGGAAAGUGGAAUUCCACGUGUAGCGGUGAAAUGCGUAGAUAUGUGGAGGAACACCAGUGGCGAAGGCGACUUUCUGGCCUACAACUGACGCUGAGGUGCGAAAGCGUGGGGAGCAAACAGGGAUUAGAUACCCUGGUAGUCCACGCCGUAAACGAUGAGUGCUAGGUGUUAGGGGUUUCGAUGCCCCUUAGUGCCGAAGUUAACACAUUAAGCACUCCGCCUGGGGAGUACGGCCGCAAGGCUG